GAAGUCUUCAAAGCCUUGUGCA
rnacentral:siRNA from 1 species